rnacentral:rRNA from 1 species
GACGAACGCUGGCGGCGUGCUUAACACAUGCAAGUCGAACGGUGAAGCGCCUUCCUUUUUGGUGGGUGUGGAUGAGUGGCGAACGGGUGAGUAACACGUGAGUAACCUGCCCCCUUCUUCUGGAUAACCGCAUGAAAGUGUGGCUAAUACGGGAUAUUCUGGGUCUGUCGCAUGAUGGGUCUGGGAAAGAUAUUGUUUCGGUGGGGGAUGGGCUCGCGGCCUAUCAGCUUGUUGGUGGGGUGAUGGCCUACCAAGGCGGUGACGGGUAGCCGGCCUGAGAGGGUGGACGGUCACACUGGGACUGAGGCACGGCCCAGACGCGUACGGGAGGCAGCAGUGGGGAAUAUUGCACUAUGAGCGCGAGCCUGAUGCAGCGACGCCGCGUGAGGGAUGGAGGCCUUCGGGUUGUGAACCUCUUUCGCCAGUGAAGCAGGCCUGCCUCGUUUGUGGGUGGGUUGACGGUAGCUGGAUAAGAAGCGCCGGCUAACUACGUG